UGGGGAAUUUUGGACAAUGGGGGAAACCCUGAUCCAGCCAUUCCGCGUGUGCGAUGAAGGCCUUCGGGUUGUAAAGCACUUUUGGCAGGAAAGAAAUCGCACAAAUUAAUACUUUGUGUGGAUGACGGUACCUGCAGAAUAAGCACCGGCUAACUACGUGCCAGCAGCCGCGGUAAUACGUAGGGUGCAAGCGUUAAUCGGAAUUACUGGGCGUAAAGCGUGCGCAGGCGGUUCGGAAAGAAAGGUGUGAAAUCCCAGGGCUUAACCUUGGAACUGCACUUUUAACUCCCGAGCUAGAGUAUGUCAGAGGGGGGUGGAAUUCCGCGUGUAGCAGUGAAAUGCGUAGAUAUGCGGAGGAACACCGAUGGCGAAGGCAGCCCCCUGGGAUGAUACUGACGCUCAUGCACGAAAGCGUGGGGAGCAAACAGGAUUAGAUACCCUGGUAGUCCACGCCCUAAACGAUGUCAACUAGCUGUUGGGGCCUUCGGGCCUUAGUAGCGCAGCUAACGCGUGAAGUUGACCGCCUGGGGAGUACGGUCGCAAGAUUA
rnacentral:rRNA from 1 species